rnacentral:rRNA from 1 species
UAAACUAGGAUUAGAUACCCUAUUAUUGAAAAUGUAAAUUAUUUAUUCUAGAUUAUUAUUUGUUAUGUUCAUGAAAAUUAAAAAAUUUGGCGGUAUUUUAGUCUUUUCAGAGGAACCUGUUCUAUAAUUGAUAUUCCACGAUUAAUUUUACUUAUAUAAUUGUUUGUAUACCGUCGUAAUAUGAAUAUUUUAUAAGAAUUUUAAAUGUUCUAAAUUUAUUAUAGGUAAGAUAAAUCAGAUCAAGGUGCAGCUUUUAUAAGGAGAAAUGGGUUACAAUAAAUUUAUUUAGAUGGUUAAAAUAAUUAACAUUAUUUUAUAAAUUGGAUUUGAUUGUAAUAUAAUUUAAUUAAAUUAUAUGAUUUGAGCUCUAAAAUAUGUACAUAUCGCCCGUCGCUCUCUCUACAAAGGGAGAUAAGUCGUAACAAAGUAGGUGUACUGGAAAGUGUACCUGGGAAGUCAAAUUAGAGCUUGUUACAAGUAUUUUAUUUACAUUAAAAAGUUAGUUGUUUAGUUCAAUUUAAUUUGAUAAAUAAAAGAAUUAUUAUGUUAUUUAUAAAAAAAAAAAUUUUUUUUAGGGUAUUUUAUUAGAAUGAUUUAUAAAUUUAAUUAUAGUGUAAUAGUAUAGUAAUAGGUUUUUGUAAUAAUAUAAAUGAUUUUUUAAUAAAAGAUUUGAUUUUUUGUACCUUGUGUAUCAGGGUUUAUUAAAAUUAUAUUAUUAAUUUAAUGUUCUCGAAUUUUUAAGAGUUAAUAUUUUAUAUAUUUAAUUGUAGUAUAAAUUUUUAUAAUAAAAUAUUAGAAAUGAAAUGUUAUUCGUUUAUUAAGAUAUCUAGUUUUUUAAGAAAUAAAUUUAAUUUAGUAAUUUUUAUAUUAGGUAUUUAUUUUUUAAUAUUUAAUUUGGGAAUUAUAAAUAUUUUAAGGGAUAAGCUUUAAAAUAUAGUAUUAAAAAUUAAUAUUUUUUAUAUUAAAAGUAAUAGAAUUAGAAAUUUUUAUUUUUUAGUCUGUUAUAAGAAUUUUUAUUUUUUAUGUAAUUUAUAUAUAUAUAUAUUUUAAGUUUUAUAUUAAAAUAAUUUAUAGAAUUAUAUAAUAAGAGUAAUAAUGAUAGAAUUAGUAUAAUUUAAUUUAUUAUUAUUUUGGAUUAUUAAGGUUAAUUUAAGGAACUCGGCAAAUUAAUUUUUCGCCUGUUUAUUAAAAACAUGUCUUUUUGAUAAUAAUUUAAAGUCUGACCUGCCCACUGAGUGUUUAAAUGGCCGCGGUAUUUUGACCGUGCAAAGGUAGCAUAAUCAUUAGUUUUUUAAUUGAAAGCUGGAAUGAAAGGUUGGACGAGAAAAUUACUGUCUUAAUUUAAUUUUAUUAGAAUUUUAUUUUUAAGUUAAAAAGCUUAAGUAUUUUUAAAAGACGAGAAGACCCUAUAGAGUUUUAUAAUUUAUUUUAUUAGUGUAUUUUGGAUUUUUUAUUAUUUUAAUAAAAUAAAUUAUUUUAUUGGGGUGAUAGAAAAAUUUAAAGAACUUUUUUUUUAUUAUUAUCAUUUAUAAAUGUUUUAAUGAUCCAUUAUUUAUGAUUAUAAGAUUGAAUUACCUUAGGGAUAACAGCGUUAUUAUUAUUUAGAGUUCUUAUCGAAAUAGUAGUUUGCGACCUCGAUGUUGGAUUAAAAUUAAUUUUUGGUGUAGAUGCUGAAAUAUUAGGUCUGUUCGACCUUUGAAAUUUUACAUGAUCUGAGUUCAAAACCGGAGA